UUUUUAGUGUAGUUUGGAGCGAGCCAGGGAGAAGAUCAUGCGAGCCAUAAAGGAGAUCAUGCGAAGUGUAACGGAGACACGAGGAGUUUUUAAUGUUUGAAGUAAUAAGCUGGAUUUCGAUGAAGAUUGCAGCAAC